AGUGGACAGCGGCUGCAAAUGACGGUGUGCGGAGUUCGUAUACCUGUUGCAUUUGGGAUUUCACUCUGAGAAUGGGAAGGAAUCGACGAUGGAUUUCUAUACAGCACGAAGCUCCACUAUCUGGGCCUGAAGACUUCCUAUGGCGAGCAUCGAGCUGGAGCUAUGCCACGCACUCAAAGGCAACGCAGAAGGCAUCUGCAAGCAGCCAGUCAUUCCAAUUAUCAACCAAUCCUUGCUCUAGUGAGACCAUUUCGAACGUGUAGUAAUUCAAAUUCUUUUGUCAGUAAAGCACAAUAAACACAAGUUUGUUCAGA